GUAGGCAGCAAGCGUUGUUCGGAAUUACUGGGCGUAAAGAGUGUGUAGGCGGUGUUCUAAGUUUGUCGUGAAGUCUCCCGGCUUAACUGGGAGGGUGCGGCGAAAACUGGAAUGCUAGAGGAUGGGAGAGGUAAGCGGAAUUCCUGGUGUAGCGGUGAAAUGCGUAGAUAUCAGGAGGAACACCUGUGGUGUAGACAGCUUACUGGACCAUUUCUGACGCUGAGACACGAAAGCGUGGGUAGCAAACAGGAUUAGAUACCCUGGUAGUCCACGCCCUAAACGAUGCAUACUUGGUGUGAGCGAUUCAUUUCGUUCGUGCCGGAGCUAACGCGUUAAGUAUGCCGCCUGGGGAGUACGGUCGCAAGAGCGG
rnacentral:rRNA from 1 species